UACGAAGGGGGCUAGCGUUGCUCGGAAUCACUGGGCGUAAAGGGUGCGUAGGCGGGUCUUUAAGUCAGGGGUGAAAUCCUGGAGCUCAACUCCAGAACUGCCUUUGAUACUGAAGAUCUUGAGUUCGGGAGAGGUGAGUGGAACUGCGAGUGUAGAGGUGAAAUUCGUAGAUAUUCGGCAAGAACACCAGUGGCGAAGGCGGCUCACUGGCCCGAUACUGACGCUGAGGCA
rnacentral:rRNA from 1 species